CAAGAAAACAAAAUGCAAGGUUCCAAUAUUAAAGGGGCGGCAUCGAACUCUGGCCUGGCUGUGACUCAUCGGUGUAAAUAUUUUGCGGAUUUAUUUGACAGUUGUGUAACACUAUCCACCGUCGAAUGUGAUGGUCAGAGAAACCUGUGUCAUUCUAGAUGUGCUGAAUAUCAAAAACAAGAGCUAUGCAGUUAAACUUUGCACCUCAGGAAAAGUGUCAAGUCCACUAAGCAUCACUAGCAUGGAGGCAACAUGUAUAAGAAUUUCUUAAAAAGCAAAUAUUCUUCUCCUGCUUGAACUUGUACAAUAUUUGUUAUUAUAUUUUAGUUAAGACUCAUAUUUAUUACAAAGCAGCUGCUCUUAGUCUAGAUAAUUGAGAACCUGCAUUCCUUGUGAGAACAGGCCCAAAUUUCUGAAUUUUUGAAGGCUGCCAAUCUGUUCCUAGAAAAUGUCAUUAUGACUCCAUGGAUGUGAAUGGAAUAUAUUAGAAAUUAUAAAAGGCAAAUAUUAAAAAUUUAAACCAUUGUUCAAUGUUUGAGACAUUUUUGAACAAAAAUCAACUGAGAAUUUAAAAGGGCAGUAAGAACACUUAUGAUCUCUUCCACUCACUAUUCAUUCUUUGCUGUCUUUCUUGCCUAGCUGUAGAUCUACCUUGUCAGUAUUGUGUCUUGAAAGCUGCAUGUCAUUCUUCAGUUCAACCGAUCAUGACAAAUAUAAAUGGAAAAAAUAAAUGAAGAGGGGGGAAACCAAUAAUAACACUAAUAUCUGGUAGUGCUAUCAGUUAUAGUCCUUCAUACCUAAGCGGCCUUACUGGUAAAUGAGAAGUACCUUUGGAGAAAGGAACUAACAACUGUUUCUGAGUGCAUCAACGUCUAGAGCAGGCAUGUCAAACUUGCAACAUCACGUGACAUCGCGCGACGUAUCGGAACUUUUUCUCCAUUGCCGGCAAUGGGGUGGGCGCGGUUUUGGGAUGACGUGUCCGGCCCACAGGCUGGCAGUUUGACAUCCCUGCUCUAGAGUUAAAUAUGGUAUUUUGGCAAUGUAUUAAUGUCCCUUUCUUGAAAUUACAUUUCUAGUUCUAAGUUCUCACUGUUACUUUUAGUUUAAGUUACAAAUAUUAGACGAGAUACAAAACAUUCACAUCCUUAGAUAAUCUCUCUAGAGGAGUAGAAACCUAUAAGCAUACUGCUUCUGAAAAAAAUAAUUUCAAUUCUGUGUGACAGACAUUAUGUCUCUUUUUACAGUGGUCUAGCUAGUGAUCCAGUCAUGCUGCUCUGAAAAAAACAAUAGCUGGAUGAAUAUACAAGGGCUAGAACCUUACUUACCACCCUCCUUCCACCUCUCCCAAAGCAACAAUAGUCUGCAUUAUAAAAUGUGAUUCACCUAAGUAGCAGCUAUUUUGUAAAAAGGAAAACUACAUUGUGAUAAUUGGUGUUUACUUGCUAAUAGACUGAUAGUUUGGGGCAAUAUUAUAGGGAACUUUCUUCUACUAUAAAGGUUUUAAUGUUUGCUCCCAGUCUGUGAAUAUAGACAUUUUAAAAUUUACAUUAAAAUAUGAACUCGUGGUUGAAACAAAUUUGGUUACCAAAUCUCAUGCUGCUGACAAGACAGGAUAAUUAUUAUUUUUCCAAUCAGCUGCUAAAAAUAUUUUCACUAUGACCAUAGCCAUACUAGGACAUUUCUUUGCACGUAUUUGAAAAUUUAAAAAAUAACUAUAGUUCAAGACAUUUUCAACAGUGAUGGCUUGCUACUAUUCUAUAAGAUAUAUAUUUAGGCCUGCAAUGUUAUGCACUUACCUUACAGUAAAUUUAAUUCAGUUCAACAAGGCCUAUUUCUGAAAUGCAUCAAAUUGUACUACAAAGUGUUAAAGACUAAUACAUAUUUCUUGUAUUCAACCAGGACAUCAGUAGUGAGAUUUGAAGAGUCUCCAGUUUCUUUCCAAGCACAGUUUGUGCAUUAGGGAAUUGAUGCCAAGCAAGAUGUCCAUAUUUUCUCCACAUUUUGUCUUUCAGUUCUCUGCAGGGAGAACUGAUUUGAAAUAUGUUGGAAAGGAUGUCAAAAAUUAUUUUGCCAUUGUAUGAUAAAAAAUUACAUAAAAUACAAUCCUUUGGAAAACAUCUCUACAUACAAAUCAUAAUAGAAAAGUGGGUGUGUCAAUUUGCAAUCCUAUCUUAAAAAUGUGGCAGUGAGUUUAUAAUUUAUGGAAAAGAAAUGUUAUCAUUUUUUUCUUAGUGACUGUUAUAGAUUUCAUGUAGUGCAAACUAACUCAGAAUAAUCAGCCUCAGAAGUAUCACUUACAAUGUUCUAAAACAUUAUUUAUUUAUUAAAUUUCUAUACUGCCCAACACACCUCCUAGGUAACUCCGGAUGGUUUACAUUGCUAUCUGAUACUUCUACUAAAAAACAAUAAUCUGAAGCAAACACAUUCCUUAAUAAAGGUACUAUACUUCCAGCACUGAGAUGGUACUGUAUAUUAUUUUUUACAUGUAAAAUUAUAGCUUUUGCUAGGCAGGGACCACAAAAACACAAUUAUUUAUAUUUAGUCUCACACAAUUGGAAUGAAUUAUAGAAAAAUGUUCCUAUUCUAUAAAUAAAUAAUUGACCCCUGUGCUCCAAUAAUGAUGACUCCUUCACUCAUCUCCAUUCUCUGUAAUUUAUUUAAAUAUGGAGAUUGCACUUAUUAAAAAGCCGCUUGAACAGCGUGUUUGAAAAAUUGCAGUACUUUAUCAUGUAUUAGUCAUCAGAGUAAUAUGUGCAGAUUUUGUUGUGUGCACAAUGUAGAUGCACAGAAUUCAAAAUCAAGUGUUAUGAUGUGCAUAUACAUGCACAACAACUAAUCUUAAGAAAAUCUGCUUGGAAGUUACCUAUUAUUUCAGCAAGUAUGUACAAAAUAUGCAGCUUGUUACAUGUAAGGUACCUUUAUGAUGGUUUAAUCUGACAUACAAUCAACUAAAAAGCAAAAGAGCUCAGAUAUUUUAUCAGUGUGUUUAUCAGUAUGAAAGAAUUAGGCAGUCCAAUUAUAAUAAACCAUCAUUUUCUUAUAGGUCUGUAUAAUUUAUCAAUAGCCUUAUUCUUUUAGCACAGAGUGCUGUACUAUGGUUGGCAAGAUAAGUCAGCAUGGUUGAAUUUAGCUGAAGUUAAAUUUGAAAGAACUGAAGGGAGAACAGUUUAUGCAGAAAUAAUUUUUUUAAAAAACAUUGCUCAUGAUAACUCGGACAACUGCUAACUACAGAUUAUGGCAGAAUGUGGACUAAGUGGCCUCAUGACUGCCAAUCAUGGAGGCAGUGGAUUUAAUUGAGUUUUCAAAAAACACUGGCAGUGUACCCAAGAUUGCUUGGCAGGCCACACGUACCCGAGUCAUAUGUUAUAGAGGGAUACUAUAUAGCCUCAAAAGUCUGGUUCAGUUCCAAGCAUUCUAUCUUUUUGUGAUAGUUAAAGUGCAUGAAUGGGUGGUGGUAAAAUAGCUUCUUUAGAGUUAGCUCCUGUAGUGAGUACAGCACAUGGCCUUGGAGGGCAAAGGGAAGAUCUGUUACCUAGGCAACAAUUAGAGAAAUGAGACUUGAAGUCAAGAAGGAAUUUAGGAAAAUGCCUCAAACAAGUUAAAAGUUAAGUCUUAUUUUGCUCCAGGCUAUUCUUACAAUGUCUAUUCUCUAGUCUUAUAUUGUUACCUGAAACAUUCUGGUCAAAGACUAUUUGCUUCAUUUACAGUAAACCAGCAUGUUCUACUUGAAUCAGCUGCAUUUUCUUUGGGGAUUCUUUGUUUAGUUGUAUGAGUUGUUUUUCACCCAAAUUAACAAUUAUGUCAUAUAUAUUUUACAAAACUGAAUGUGUGAAUAUUUAUCUUGAAAGCAGAAUGGAAUAUUAUGUUUUAUAUCUUCUUUAAUAGUAGAUAUUAAGAGGGGAGACUGAGUAGAAUCCUCUAUCAACAUACCUCUGUUUCAUAUAGCCAGGUAGUAGCAUUUUAGAAUUUAUUUCAACCUUUGAAUUUUAAUCACCAAUGAAACAACACAAGUUUAAGAGCCCUGCCCCUUUCACAUGCCAAAUAGGAGAAAGUUAUUAGGUAAAACACAUCUUACAGGAGGAAACAGGGACAAACACACUAUUCUGGUAUGAAGAACUAGAAUGAUUUUGAGAGAUGAUGCCUGAAAUCUCUGGUGUUCUAUGAGCUCACCUGUUUGCUACACUCAAUUUUGAAUAUUUUUUAUCAAGGUACAGACAAUGGUAAUAAAAUCCAUGGUCUAUAAUUUAGAAAUAUUGAGUAAUACAUUGCAAGUCAUUCUAUUCUUUGCAGCAGUACAAGUCUUGGGCACUCAAGUCUAAGAGUAGCCAAUCAAAUGCGCCAAGCUUCUAGGAUAAAGUGUUCAAGUAAGAUCAAUUUAAUAUCCAUUAUAAAUCUUGCUUUAUCUGAAAUAAUUUCAAUUGAAUGUAUUUAUAAAGAUGCCUCCAUUCAUAAUUCUUUUUCAUUAAAUUGAGGAAAGAGAGAAGAAAGGAAAUGAAUACAUAGAUAACAGCAAUUUAAAAGAAAGGAUGUGCAUUCAACAUCCAGGUGAAAUAAAUUUGACAUUUUCAGCAUGAGCAGACAUCAGAGACAAAUAUGUUGAUAACAGUAACUACAUUAUUUAAAUUUUGAAGUAAAUAUAUAUGAGACUGCAUUACACUGAGCCAUAAUUUUGGAACAUCUAAUCCAGUAUUGUUAAAUAAGUGUAAGUAAUUGUCUUUCAAACACAUCUUCUUGAUUUUAUAUCACUAGGAUGCCUAGUGAAACUGGCGGUGGGGGGUGGGAGAUGUCAUCUUGUAAUUUCUGUAAUUGCUGUUGUAUAUCUUAUUGAAGACAGAUGACAAUUCAAAAGAGUAAAUAAAACAUGUAAGAUUGUGAAAUCAAUCUUCUUUCAUCAAUCCUAGGCAUUUUUAGAAAUAUAGGACUAACUUAAAGUUACAAAUUUGAUCAGUAAUAUGCUACUUCAGCUGAAAAGCAGCCUUUGUAAUAUCUACAUUCAGACAUAGAUAAACAGUUAAGUAGAAUCAAAUGUCCCCAGAAUUUUGAUAUGGAGAAACUAUUUUGAUGAUAACAUUCAUAAGUCAUAUCAGAUACUUCAGACACAUGCCUACCAAGGUGGCUAACUGCUUUUCUAACAAGAUUGUGAAAUUAGAGAAGAUUUUAAAUAACCAUUAGCAUACUUUCCAAAUGUUUGCAUCAAAUACUAAAUGUCAUCAUUUUAUAAGAACGCAACAUUAAUGCCAUUGAAAAUAGUUUCUAAUAAAAUCUGUUAUCACAAAAGGUGGCAAAAUGUACUCAAAAGCAGCUUCUUUAUUACAGGGUUUGAAGUAUACAUACAUACCUCUCCAGUGCAAAAUAGUCCCACAGCACUACUGACUCUCAGUUCCCCACCCUUUCCAAAACAAUACCCGCUACCUGGGGACAGCUAUAAUGACAAACAAAAUCAAGCAAGCAUUAAGAAAUAUGCACAAUGUUUGAUAUUAUCUCUAUUCAGGAGCAAUUGUAGUUUUAACAUUAGAAAACAAGUAAAUCAUGAAUCACCACCACAUAAACACUCUCAGAAUUUUCACUAAUACAUGCUCUAAUUUGAAUUUCACUGCUUACGAGCAAUUGCAUGUAGUUGCUAAGCUUGUAUUUUAAGCUUACAAGUAUGAACUUCAAGAGGUUCAAAAUAUUAAUUUCAAUUGUAGGAAUGAUCCUCCCUCCUUAAAAUUGGAUUUAAAGUCCAAUUUUCUCUCUAAACACUUCCUCAAUGUUCUUCUAAUUUAUAGGCAUACCCCAGAUCACUUCUCUUCAAUACUUAUGUUGUACACUCAGAGGUAGCAAGCUACAGAAAGAAAGAAGGCAUGGAAAGUCUCCCUCCCUAUCAUCUGAGCUAAUGUCCAAGAAUCUAGCACAAACCUGAAUGGGAAAGAAAAAAGAUCCAUCAUUUAUCCAUUUUACAGCAUAUACUGCCUAUUAUAUCAGCAAAACAUAGAGGGGUAGAGAAAAAGAAAUAUUGGCAUUUAUGGGAAUCAUAUAAAUUCAAGUGCCUCCAAAAUAAAAUGAACAAUUUCACAAAUGCAAAUUAGAUAGCUAACAUAUCUAAUUGCAUGUUCCUACAUAAGCACUAACUAAAGUUAAUACGGCACUUUAUUUUUUAUUGGCAGAUUUAAAAACAAAUAAACAAAAUAAGCUUACUGGAAAAGGAACAAAAUAAGAAUACUGUUGACAAAUAUAAUAUUUGGGGGGGAAGAAAAGUUAAACUGCUAUUAAAAUCAUUGAAUACUUUUAGGCUAAACUCUUCAAAGUUGAUCAACCACUCCAUUUUCAGAUAUUCUAACUGAUUCAAGAUUAAAUUCAAAGGAUAAUUCAUAUUAAAAUACACCUGCAUAUUCUACCACUAUCCUAUACACCUUCUAAUCUAAGCAGACAUCAAAACACAGAAGGGAUGUAUUAGGUAUUCAUUAAUGUUUUUUUAGGAUAUGGGACAUUAGAUAUGACUGCAGAGAGACUGAACCUUUGUCUUCCUAAUAAAGAAAGCCCAUACUGGAAAUUGUAACAGAAGUUGUGCAUUUUGACUCACAAUGUUACUGUUUCCAAGUAACUAUACUUCACUAGAUAUUAUGUUCCAAUUCACUGUCACAAACAAAUGUAAGUAGCACCGUCAACCCUGACUUAGCAAGCAGGGAUAGGCAAUGCUUUAGAUUUGACUCUUUAAAAAAUGCUUCAGAGCACAUAAGGCCAGGAACAUGGCAGCUGCUUGCAGCCCUUUAAAGUAGACUCAUCUUUCCCCAGGAUCAUGGUAGCUGUAGGGAACAGCCAUGUGAUCCCACAAAAAAAUGCAAUUUCUUUAAAAAGGUGCAGAUAGAUGCUACAUUUAUGCUCCAAUGUUCCAUUUCCAAUUUAUGUUUACACCAGUGUACCACCCUAAUAAGGGCUGAUAUAUAGCACACAUAAUGCAAAAGCCCAUCCAGUCUUCAUCUAAUGAGAAUAUUGGUAUCUCAUUUGAACUUAUAAGUAACUAUUGGUCAGUAUCUAACUACAAAUCCAGAAUACUGCUUGUACUGUUCCACCAAAUGUAUAAAUCUAAAAAUAUGCAAGUUCAACAAAUUCUUGCAAAUGUUGAGCUGCUUCUGAAACUGUGAAGGACCAGAAAUGUAUAUAUAAAAAUAAAAUCCACAGAUAAGCAAUACACCUUUCUUUGGAGAAAGUACCUAAUCUCCUGAACAUCUGAUGGCCAAAAUUACUAAACAUUUUUAUAGGGAAAGAAUGACCUUUCACAUGAUUUUAUUGUCACUGCCAGCAAUUCUUAAUUUCCAUAUGUAAAGUUAAGAGUUUUGUAAAUAAAGACCAAAACAAUCUGUAUUUUAAUGGACAAAUCCAGCAAUCAUUGAAGGAUUAAGAUGUUUAAAGUCCAAUAUGGUGACCAACUUGCCUACUUAGAAUGAACUGUAUUUGAAAAUUCUCUUUCUUGAUGCAUGUUCUGGCAAUAUGGGAAUUUCCAGUGUAAUUAGAAAUGUGAAAAAGUGAGUUGAUAUAAUGCAUUUUCAUUGUAUUACUAGUUUCUUGGCUCGUUAUUACAGAGUACCUGAGAUGCUGGGAAAGCAUGAAUAUAGUGCAUUGAAAGGAGGUGAAAUAGUGAAUUUUAGUAAACAGGAGGAAGUUUACCAAUAAUCCAGACAGUUUAUACCCCAGGAGACGCAUCUUCCAUUUCCAGUUCAGAAGUUAAACAUCAGCAACUCAGUGCAGUUGUAUAAACAGCAUCAAUUCAUCCCACAUUAAACUACUUUCUUGGCACAAUUUAUUUUUCCUGGCCCAAACAAACAAGAAAUCACUAUUAGAAUAUCAUUAACAAUAUUCUAUUCUAAAGUGUCAGUUUAACAGCCCUCUAAAAACAUUUUAGAGUUUUAAAAAAGUGUGCAUUCUAUAGAUAUUAAAACUGCAGUCACUCCAUCAGGAGUCUCAGUUCUCUUUCAAACAAUUCUCUGUGUCCUAAUCAGUUCAAUGAGACACAAAACCUUCAGUUAAAGGCAAUAGUUUGCUAUUGUGGAAAGUGUCACACAUAUACUUAGUAAAAUAAAUUAUUAUUAUUGUAUUGUAUACUUCAAGACAUUAAUUAAGCUCAUUCAGCUAAAUUUUAUUAUUUGUUAAAAUGAAGGGCAAUAAAGUGGCAUAACAUAAUUUUUCAUUUGUUUGAGAUCAAGUUUAAGCCACUUUUUUCAAUGCACCUUUCAGCACAUACUGUGUAUUGCUUUUAGUUUCAAUGAUACCAUAUUAAGGAAUGCUAUCCUAUUAACAGAAAGUAGGGAAUUAAAAAAUAAGAAAUAUUAUUGGUUUUAUAGCAACUGUCCAUUGAAGAAACUAUACUAAUUUACUUUUCAUCAGGCUGCAUGACUAUUUCAGAAUAUUUUAAAUGUAUUUUAAGCAUAUAAGGGAAAGGAAGAAUUAUCUAUUAAACUGGAGUACUGCAGGUUUAAUUUCACAUCUUGGCUAUACUGUGACAAAGAAGUAGUCACCAAAUAUAGCAACUAGGUCCUGUCUCAAGCCAGGGAUGAACUAAUGCCCCUCCCCAAAUCUACCCAGAUCCACCCCCUCCCACAGCCCUUUCCAAAAACAAGACAACACUGUUGGCAAAUCAAGACAGUAUGAAACAUCAACAGAAAUAAAAAUGCGAUGUGUGCCAAUGCAUCAGGUUAACUAUCCUAUUAAAUGACACAGAUCCCCAUACAAACAAUUCUACUUGGGACUAGCUGUACCUUUGCUGCUUAAGAAAUUAAGUCUACAAUUUUGAGUGUGCUCCAUGAUACAAUAUUACAGACAAAGGAGACUAGACACUUGAAAUUUUUCCCUGGGAAUUCUUUUCAGGGACAUAAGGUGACUGUCCCACCAAGAGGUGACACUCAAAGUACAAUCCAAUGCUUUUAGUACAAAUUACAAUAUCCAGUUCAGUAAGAUGUAAGGCAUAUGGACAAAAAAAAAAAGACACCAGCAGUUUGCAACAGGAAGAUAAAUCAUUUUACACUAUUAAAAGCAUUAGUGCUUGAUGUUCCAGUUCACAUUUUUAAAAUCAUUUCAAAUCCCUGAUUCCUAUUUACUGAAGUUGGAAUUCAUUAAGCUUCUGAACCCAUAUGCUUUUGAAUGAAGAAUGAUCAAUUCUUUGUGCUUCUGUCCAUUGUUACAUGACAUACUGAUUGAAACUAUGGAAAGAAUUGAGCACCAGGGAUGCUUUGCAAGUCUCCUUCAAGUCUCAUUGUAUUAAGUUUGGGUCAGGGAACAGGAUGCAGGGAAUGAAACUGGCCCAGCCACUAGCACUAUCAUAAAGAAAUGCUUUUAAAGAACAAGGCAGACAAGUUUAUGAAGCCCUCUUUAUAGAAGUAGCUUGUGUUUUUU